rnacentral:rRNA from 1 species
CGCGUAGGCGGCUUGUCAAGUCACUUGUGAAAUCUCUGGGCUUAACCCAGAACGGCCAAGUGAAACUGACAUGCUAGAGUGUGGAAGGGGCAAUCGGAAUUCUUGGUGUAGCGGUGAAAUGCGUAGAUAUCAAGAGGAACACCUGAGGUGAAGACGGGUUGCUGGGCCAACACUGACGCUGAGGCGCGAAAGCCAGGGAGCAAACG